CAAUCCACUCCAACUGGAUCGCCGCGAAAUUCGAAAAGCUUCUCCAAUUCCUAGUGAAUUAGUCAGGGUUAAACACCAUUGGCAAUGAAAAGUAGAAGUGAGAACCAAAAGAAGAAGAAGAAUAUAUUCGAAAAUGGAGUUCCAGUGAAACUCUUGAGAUGGCAUUACGGCCACGCUCAAUUUAGGGAUAAACAGCGAGGUGUUGGAUAUCUUUCAUGGAUGUUUUUAAAAGUUUAGGUAAACCAAGUGAUGGCAUUGAAGGAGAAAGGAAUAGCUGCUGAAUUAUUUCACUGCUUUUUUCAAAAUUUCAGGCACAUUGCAUCUCAUCGCUGGCCAUGAUUUCAGGCCUGUUUACCAUAAGCUCUCAUAUUUGAGGAACUGCUUUCCAGAUGUACCGUUAUUGGCAUUGACAGCAACUGCUGCUCCCAAGUGAGUCAGGUUAAUCCGCCCUGUGGAAAAGAACUGACUUCAUUACUAAAUUAUAUUAUCUUUAAAGUUUGAACUUUCCCCAUUCAUCGAAGCAUUUUUGAGUAUUUUUCUCUCUUCUUCUUUUAAGUUGAAUAUGGCAAUCUUUAUAACUGGCCAAGAUCUUUUGGAUGAUGCCUAUGAAGAUUUGUCUAAUGCACUCAAGUCUAUUGGAGAUACAUGUGCAAUUGUAUGCUGUCUCAAACACACAACUUGUGAUGAGUUGUCCCGUCAUCUUUCCAAAAGCUGCAUUUCUUGUGCUGGUAACCAAAUAUUUUGCAACCCUUUUCUUGUUUCCACAGAAAGCUUUAAUUUUUAUGGACAUAACGUGAAGUCUUCUCUUUUUUCUGGUGGAUUUUCUUCAUAUCAUGAAGGCUUGAGUAAUAAAUUGUAUUAGACGAUUGGAUUUCUUCCAACACACAAGUUGUUGUGGCUACAGUUGCUCUUGGGUAUGGUUGAAUUUUGAAAGUCCACGUUUUUCCUGUGCUCAUUUAUCUCAAACUCCUUCGAAAUACCUAAAAUAGCUUGCUCUCAGGUUCAGAGUUAUGUUUGGUGUCAUAAACAUGAACUUAUCUUCUAUACAAAAGUUCUCUGUUAGGAAAUUGGUUUAUAUGCCAGUUAUUGUAUUUAUUUUAAUGUAGAACCCUUGUUUUCAGGUGAUUUAUGCUGCACUGUUUAGUUCUUUUUCAUAUUUCGGCACCUGGUGAUGACAUGAACUCAAAAUAGUGUGACUUAGGACUUAGCACAAUUAUUGAGCUAGUGCUGUUCCUUCAGGAUGGUAUCUGAUAGACCGCCUGUCACCAAUACUUAUAAAAGAAGAGGCAAGAUAGGAAAUUCACUUCCAGCUCAAUUACAGCCAUGGCAGUUGGGAAUUCUAACAAAUUUACCUGGAUAACUCAGGCAAAACAACCUCAUCUACUGGGAUAAACCAAGCAAAUCACUCUCAUCUGGAUUACCCAAACAAAUGAGAUAAGCAAGCUUUGAAUGAGAGGCUGCUGCUUUAAAAAGGGCAACAAGCUAAGCAGAAAGGCAUCCAGGAAGAAACACAAAUUCAGGGGUUUAGGGGGCUUAGGCCUAGGGGGAACUGGCAUGGUUGUAGCCAAGUUCCAUUGGUAUUUCGGUUAUAAUUCAUUUGGUAUUUCAGUAGCAUUCAUUUCAGAAUAAACACUGAACAUUUGAGCUGUAUUUCAUUGAUUAUCAAUAGAAGUCAUUUACAUUGAAUUGAGUUGUGUUCCUUUGAAUUACAUUACAUUGCAAUUGCUAUUACAACACAGAAGACACAUUCUGUUUACACUAAACUUGGCAGGCCGACUUCGUGGAGACUGGAAAUUGAAGCAUCAUCUGCAGAAACAGAACAGGAAUUCAUCUUAAGCAAGGCUGAGAGCAAGAAGUUGCAGCCCUCGAGCUCUCACAAAAGGUUGUCAAAAGAAUUGAUGUCCAACUUCAAUCAGGUGAUCUUUUGUAAUUUCCCCGUGUGAGCUUUCUGUGGUGUUGAUUUCUUAGAAAAUCUGACCACUACACAAUACAGAAUGCAAGCCUACUUAUUUUCAUCUUAUAAACUAGGUAUCUACAUCACCAGGAAAAAAAUCAUGUGCUGCUUGCAAACCUAGUUGCCAAGUUACUGGAAGAGCUACCUACUUGUGCUUUAUUGGCAAAAAAUUGUUUCUUCUAAUUUUUCAUAAGGUAA